rnacentral:rRNA from 1 species
AGCGUGCAUACUGAGGCUCUUUAUUUGGAAACCUGCGGAUGCCCCUUACCAGACGAGCCCACACACCCUGCAUCAUACUGGGAAAGAGAAUUUACAG